rnacentral:rRNA from 1 species
ACGAAUUCGCCCUUUUCCGGUUGAUCCUGCCGGACCCAACUGCUAUCGGGAUAGGACUAAGACAUGCUAGUCGAGCGCCUCCCAGCCACGACGUAGGCGCGGCGCACAGCUCAGUAACGCGUGGCUAACCUGCCCUCGGGACGGGAAUACCCCCGGGAAACUGGGGCUAAUCCUCGAUAGGUGAAGAACUCUGGAAUGAGUCUCCGCCCAAAAGACGCUUAUAUCAUGCUUUUAGGCGCCGCCCAAGGAUGGGGCCGCGACCGAUCAGGUAGUUGGUGAGGCAACGGCUCACCAAGCCUUUAACCGGUGCGGACCGUGGGAGCGGGAGCCCGGAGAUGGGCACUGAGACAAGGGCCCAGGCCCUACGGGGCGCAGCAGUCGCGAARUCUUUGCAAUACACGAAAGUGUGACAGGGCUAUCCCGAGUGCCAUCACUCUGAGGAAGGCUUUUACCCAGUCUAGAAAGCUGGGAGAAUAAGGAGAGGGCAAGUCUGGUGUCAGCCGCCGCGGUAAUCCCAGCUCUCCGAGUGGUGUGGAUGUUUAUUGGGCCUAAAGCAUCCGUAGCUGGCCAAGUUAGUCCCCUGUUAAACCCACCGAAUUAAUCGUUGGAGUGCGGGGGAUACUGCUCGGCUAGGGGACGAGAGAGGCCGACGGUAUUUCCGGGGUAGGGGUGAAAUCCUAUAAUCCCGGGAGGACCACCAGUGGCGAAGGCUGUCGGCUAGAACGCGCCCGACGGUGAGGGAUGAAAGCUGGGGGAGCGAACCGGAUUAGAUACCCGGGUAGUCCCAGCUGUAAACGAUGCAGGCUAGGUGUUUGGGCGGCCACGGGCCGCUCUAGUGCCGCAGGGAAGCCGUUAAGCCUGCCGCCUGGGGAGUACGGUCGCAAGGCUGAAACUUAAAGG